ACUCAAAGGAAUUGACGGGCACCCGCACAAGCGGUGGAGCAUGCUGUUUAAUUCGAAGAUACGCGAAGAACCUUACCUAGACUUGACAUCCCUGGCAAUGCUAUAGAAAUAUAGCGGAGGCUAUCCAGGUGACAGGUGGUGCAUGGUUGUCGUCAGCUCGUGUCGUGAGAUGUUCGGUUAAGUCCGAUAACGAGCGCAACCCUUAUCAUUAGUUGCUAACAUUUAGUUGAGAACCCUAAUGAGACUGCCGUUGAUAAAACGGAGGAAGGUGGGGAUGACGUCAAAUCAUCAUGCCCCUUACGUCUAGGGCUACAGGCGUGCUACAAUGGCCAAUAUAAUGAGUUCCGAUACCGUAAGGUGGAGGCAAUCUCCAAAGUUGGUCCCAGUUCGGAUUGUGGUCUGCAACUCGACCACAUGAAGUUGGAAUCGCUAGUAAUCCCGAAUCAGAAUGUCGGGGUGAAUACGUUCCCGGGUGUUGUACACACCGCCCGU
rnacentral:rRNA from 1 species